UAUGGUUAAGAAACAAGCAGA
rnacentral:miRNA from 1 species